ACGGAAGGCAGCAGUGGGGGAUAUUGCACAAUGGAGGAAACUCUGAUGCAGCAACGCCGCGUGAGGGAAGAAGGUUUUCGGAUUGUAAACCUCUGUUUUUAGUGAAGAAACAAAUGACGGUAGCUAAAGAGGAAGCCACGGCUAACUACGUGCCAGCAGCCGCGGUAAUACGUAGGGGGCAAGCGUUAUCCGGAUUUACUGGGUGUAAAGGGAGCGUAGACGGCAUGGCAAGUCUGGUGUGAAAGCCCAGGGCUCAACCCUGGGACUGCAUUGGAAACUGUCAAGCUAGAGUGCAGGAGAGGUAAGUGGAAUUCCUAGUGUAGCGGUGAAAUGCGUAGAUAUUAGGAGGAACACCAGUGGCGAAGGCGGCUUACUGGACUGUAACUGACGUUGAGGCUCGAAAGCGUGGGGAGCAAACAGGAUUAGAUACCCUGGUA
rnacentral:rRNA from 1 species